rnacentral:rRNA from 1 species
UAAGGUCCCAAAAUGUAUGCUAAGUGGAAAAGGAUGUGGAGAUGUACAGACAACUAGGAGGUUGGCUCAGAAGCAGCCAUCCUUUAAAGAGUGCGUAACAGCUCACUAGUCGAAUGACUCUGCGCCGAUAAUUUACCGGGGCUAAGCAUACUACCGAAGCUAUGGAUCCCAAGGGAUGGUAGGGGAGCGUUCCAUGAACGGAGAAGUACGACCGAAAGGACGUGUGGAGAUCAUGGAAGAGAGAAUGCCGGUGUGAGUAGCGGAACGUGGGUGAGAAUCCCACGCACCGAAAACCCAAGGUUUCCAGAGGAAGGUUCGUCCGCUCUGGGUAAGUCGGGACCUAAGGCGAGGCCGAAAGGCGUAGUCGAUGGACAACAGGUAGAGAUUCCUGUACCCGUAUAUAUGUGAAGGAAUGACGGAGAGAGGAAGCUGCAGCCAGCGGCUGGAAGAGCUGGUGCAAGCGAGAUAUCGGGAUGGCAGGCAAAUCCACCAUCCGAAACGAGAAGGCGUGAAGCGUACGGAAAGCUACGGCGAGUACGGAAGGCAGUGGAGGAACUUCCAAGAAAAGUUUCUAACGUUAAGUAUAUAUGGCCCGUACCGAAAAUGGACACACAUGGGUGAGGAGAGAAUCCUAAGGUGAGCGAGAGAACUAUAGCUAAGGAACUCUGCAAAAUGACUCCGUAACUUAGGGAGAAGGAGUGCUCAUAGAGAUAUGAGCCGCAGUGAAACGGCCCAAGCGACUGUUUACCAAAAACACAGCUCUCUGCUAAGCCGCAAGGCGAAGUAUAGGGGGUGACGCCUGCCCGGUGCUGGAAGGUUAAGGGGAGGGGUUAACGCAAGUGAAGCCCUGAACUGAAGCCCCAGUAAACGGCGGCCGUAACUAUAACGGUCCUAAGGUAGCGAAAUUCCUUGUCAGGUAAGUUCUGACCCGCACGAAAGGCGUAACGAUUUGGGCGCUGUCUCAGCUGUAGACUCGGUGAAGUCUUAGUACCUGUGAAGAUGCAGGUUACCCGCGACUAGACGGAAAGACCCCAUGGAGCUUCACUGCAGGUUGAUAUUGGGAUUUGAUGCAGCAUGUACAGGAUAGGUAGGAGGCAAAGAGAUGGAUACGCCAGUAUUCAAGGAGCCGCUGUUGGGAUACUACCCCUGUUGUAUUGGAUUUCUAACCGGACGACGUAGAGCCGUUGACGGGACAGUGUCAGUCGGGCAGUUUGACUGGGGCGGUCGCCUCCCAAAGAGUAACGGAGGCGCCCAAAGAUACCCUCAGCUUGGAUGGAAACCAAGCGCAGAGUGCAAAGGCAAAAGGGUGUUUGACUGCGAGACCCACAAGUCGAGCAGGGACGAAAGUCGGGCUUAGUGAUCCGGCGGUGCUGAAUGGAAAGGCCGUCGCUCAACGGAUAAAAGCUACCCUGGGGAUAACAGGCUGAUCUCCCCCAAGAGUUCACAUCGACGGGGAGGUUUGGCACCUCGAUGUCGGCUCAUCGCAUCCUGGAGCUGAAGUCGGUUCCAAGGGUUGGGCUGUUCGCCCAUUAAAGCGGUACGCGAGCUGGGUUCAGAACGUCGUGAGACAGUUCGGUCCCUAUCUGUCGUGGGCGCAGGAAAUUUGAGAAGAGCUGUCCUCAGUACGAGAGGACCGGGAUGGACGCAUCAAUGGUGGACCAGUUGUCACGCCAGUGGCAUAGCUGGGUAGCUAAAUGCGGAAGGGAUAAACGCUGAAGGCAUCUAAGUGUGAAACCCACUUCAAGAUGAGAUUUCCCAUUGCGCAAGCAAGUAAGACCCCUUAAAGACGAUAAGGUAGAUAGGUCAGGAGUGUAAGCAUGGUGACAUGUUAAGCGGACUGAUACUAAUAGGUCGAGGGCUUGACCGA